GGGUUAUAAUAAUAAUUAUUAAUGAUACAAUAUUGACAUUAAUUUAAAAUUCUCACCAAAAAUGAUUGCUUAUUUUUCCAGAACAAUAUGAUGCAUUUGUACGAUUUACAUAUGACCAAAUCCAUCGACAAUUUGGCCAAUCCACUGCAUCAUAUGUUUCUUAGGCAGCACAUGUGUUUGAGCAACUGCAGUUUUAUAAGCUUCAUGUAAGUCACGGAAGACGACUUAAUUACCUGGGCAUUACACAUGGCUGGAGAACUGUUAGUUACUAUGAAAGAUUCUGGGGUUCGGUGAAAAAAAACCUCAUGGAUGCAAUUUAAAAAAAAAAUUAAAUUACAACUACUUCAUGUUACUGUAUAUUGCUGGUGCUAUGUAAGAUGUUAAUGAGGUGAAAGGUUACAUUAACAGGCACAAUUUAUUGACCUUUGACAUAUUCUUAGUAGUCUUAUGGUUAAUUGAUAUACAGUAUCCAUUAACAGGCACUAUUUAUUGACCUUUGACAUAUUCUUAGUAAUCUUAUGGUUAAUUGAUAUAUCCAUAUAAAGUAAGGUAACUUCCCAUAAGAAGUAAACAUCCCUUUCUUGUUAAGAAAUAUUAAAUGGUUACUCUUAAAUUUUGAAUCUGAAUAUAGCUCUGUAUAGGUAAUUACUAAUGGCCUAUAAUGUUAUUGAUAUAAUUAAUAUAUUACUCUGCAAAAGGUACUGUAUACCAUGACACUAAUACAAAAUAAUAACACUAUAGUCUGGCACAUUUAAGAAUUGUGUAAUAUUCUGUGCAUACUGUAAUUGUUAUCUGCUAUGUAUCAAAGAGACAUGAUAACUACCAAAGCUGUCCAGUGCCUAAGAGUCUGUAAAAACUCGCUCAAUAUAUUAAGUCAUUAAUUUGUAAUUAACAAACAGCCACCAGCACACGUGUGUAAACUACACAUACACUACACAUACCUAAAAUAUAAGUACAGCCAUAGUAAAUUUUCACACCCCUUUAGUGUAACAGACAAAUUAAAGAUUCUUCAAGUUUUGAAUAAUAGGGCAUGCGUCAUUGAAGCAACUUAAGCCAGCUGCUUUUGUUGCAAUUUAAUAUAAACUUACUGCCAAACUGCAAAACUAGCUAAAUGCAACAUACAUGUAUCACUUCGCCUCUAUCAACAAUUAUGCUCAGAAAGAAGAAAUAGUUGUUUCUGUGUUUCAACAUUUUAUAAUGCUUCAUUCAAAAUAGAUAUCGGCAGUCUAUAAAAGGAUAAAGUUAUUUAAAAGAAUUCUUUUUGAUAGUUUCUAAAAUUUGAGGCUUUGAUAUUAUUUAUGACCUCUUACCAUAAUUACUAUUGUAAAACAAAUAUAUGAACAAUUGAAAAUUAUUUUUAGAUGAAGAUGACGAUAUUUUAUUUGAGUGUUUUUGGCAACUGUAAGUAGUGUUGGGAAAAGAGCUUACUUGCCAUUUUAGACAAUAAUUUCUUUAUCAAAUUCAAAACUUGUAGCGCGUAUACUUGUGACUUUAAUGACAAGAUGAUAUUGUAUAUACAAUGUGUAUUAAUUUUAUUUUAAGGAAACAUUUAACUUGUACUCUGAUGUUUUCAUGUAAGAAUACUUAACAGUAGUUUUAAUGAUGGUGUUGAAAGCAAACUGAUAAAAGUGUACAAACAAGUGUCCAAUUCUAGUCACAUCUUUGUUUACUGCUGUAAUUUCUUGGGUAUAAAUAAGCCCAUCCUAGGUUUACAAGCAUGAGCAUGUUUCAUGCAAUGUGCCCUACCUGAAUUUAAACCCACCCCAAAUUCCAGAUAUUUGGAAUAGUAAUUCUACACUAUGUUUGCCUAAGAUUCAAGUUCUGAAAGUAUAAAUGUGUAAUGAAGUAUACUAUGCCUAACUGUGGGCUAUCAAGGUCUGCCUUUGCUGUCUUUGUGGGGCCUAAACCAUACAUGUGUAGACAGGAUUCUGCGAGGCCUAAGCUAGGUGUGCAGGACACAGUACCUUGCAGUUCCUGGUCUCCGACCCCUAAAAUUUUAGGUGUGGGCUUGUACACAUGAAAAUACGUUUACUAAAUACAUGGCAGGGUAGAUUUUGGACACCUUUACAUAGUUGUAUAAAUAAAAUGGCAGAAAUGGUCAGCUAACAAGUAUAAUGAUAGGAUGCCUAAUGGGUUCCUGAAGACGAGCUAUGUAGCAAUUCCUACCUACAGCUCUAAUGUAGAUUUGCAGUAGAAAUGUGAUGGUAGUGAUAUAGUUAUGGAAGACAUUAGGCAUUCAGGUAACUGUCAGUGGGACCUACAUUUUGUAUAGUUAUUUUUAGAAUUGUUUUGCCCUCUAGAUUCAAUUGCUUUCUUUGUACAUUACUAUUAUUGAGUGUUGCUCCUGUUAUAUGGUUUCAUUUUAGUUCUUUGGAGAUGUUCAAUAAAGUUACCUUAUGUUGUUUCCACA